UAUCCCAUAACACCUUGCAACACAGCGAAUUCCAAAUACUUCUGAAUUAAUGGCGGACUGAAGUCACCGCUUUGGAGAAAAUAUUCCAGAGGAACAAGGGACAGAUGGCAACUGAUGCGUUCAUUUCACGCCAUGGCAUUGGCAGGACAAAAUAGUUGUGUCCAACUGGUUUGGAGGUUGAAGCACAGCCGACCCCAUCACCCAGGCAGUUGUAAAGAACUUGGGAACCUCCCAUCCACCAGGAAAAUCACCCUAUCCCAGGGGUUUAUUCAGCAGUGUUCAACAUCACUAUAUUAAAAGUAGAUCCACGCAUGUUAUUCUCUAUCAUGCAGAAUUGUCAGCUCAUUGUAACAUAUGAAGCUCAUUCUAAAAUACAGACGUGGGUGAUUUCUGCCCCAGGGUACUGCA